GACGAGCCGCCCGAACGUUAUUCGGAAUUACUGGGCUUAAAGGGUGCGUAGGCGGUGCAGCAAGUCGGGAGUGAAAUACCUCAGCUUAACUGAGGAACUGCUUUCGAUACUGCUGUGCUUGAGUGAGACAGAGGUAAGCGGAACUUAGGGUGGAGCGGUGAAAUGCGUUGAUAUCCGAAGGAACAUCAGUGGCGAAAGCGGCUUCCUGGACCAGAACUGACGAUCAGGCACGAAAGCGUGGGGAGCAAACAGG
rnacentral:rRNA from 1 species